rnacentral:lncRNA from 1 species
AGUUCUCAUCUCUCUUCUUGCAAUUAGUUUUUGGGUUAAAUAUAUCCCCUCCACCAGGCAUAGAAUGGACGAUUAAUGGGUGGAGUUAUCUUAAUGUGGAUGCAGGAAAGAUUUCACAGAAUUUGCUGAUGUGUGCUUUAGAGAAUUUGGUGAUAGGGUUUUACAUUGGACUACCCUGAAUGAAGGCAAUAUAUUUGUUUUGGCUGGGUAUGACAUGGGGUUUAUACCACCUCAGCGAUGCUCUCCCCCAUUUGGACUGACCUUUUGUGCUAAGGGUAACUCCUCAUCAGAGCCAUACAUUGCUGGCCAUCAUCUCUUGUUAGCACAUGCAUCUGCUGCAAGAUUGUACAAGAAAAAGUACCAGGUAUUACCUAGUAUUUCCUAAACUCUUCAAGUAUAAAGCUCAAUCUCAUCCCACUUAAGUGUUGAAAGCCAUAACUUUGAUAAAAUUUGAAUUUCCACCUUCAGUUUUUCUGAUUAGGAAUCUAAACUAUAAAGAAACACCAAAGAAAUUAUCAUGGUCAUUACAGUAAUGGGGUGUUGUGUGCAGGACAAGCAACAUGGAUUCAUAGGGAUCAAUAUCUUUGCUUAUUGGUUUGCUCCUCUAACAAACACCACGGAAGAUAUCAUAGCUACUCAAAGAGCUAAAGAUUUCUAUCUUGGUUGGUGAGUCAAGAACCUAUGAUAAUAGACAAAAUGCUGUCUGUGUUUUGAAUUUUUCGCCAUUUCCUGUUGAUUCCCCUUGGCUAGGAUGUUGAAUCCUAAAUGAGGCAGAAACUAUUUGUUGUUUCUGGUAUUGGUUUAACUUUGUUGUGUAAAAAUGGCUAAAAGCUUUGUUCAAGAAUCUAAAUAAGCAUUAGAUCAUCUUUUCUGUCUGUUCUGUUGCAGGUUUCUUGACCCCUUAGUGUCUGGAGACUAUCCUGAAAUAGUGAAGAAGAAUGCAGGUGCUAGAAUUCCAGCCUUCACCAAAAAUGAAUGCAAACAAGUCAAGGGUUCAUUCGACUUCAUAGGAAUAAACCAUUACCUGGUUGUACACAUCAAGGACAACCCUGAGAAGCUGAAGACGGAUCAAAGAAACUUCGCAGCAGAUGUGGGUGUGGACAUGAUAUGUAUGUUGCCUGCAGUCUUUUAACUAGAUUUGGUAGAUUACUUGCCUGUGCUUAAGUAGUUGAAUUGAGUUUCAUUCUAGUGUUUCUUCACUGUAGACCUUGAAAAAUGGUUCAUGUUUUACACACUGACUUGAAUGAAUCAAGGUUUGGUGUAGCAUAUGGAAUCAAAUUUGUUAGUCUGAUUGAUCUUUAACCAAGUUAUAAAUGAAGAAACUGAUAUAUUCACUGGUUCAUUUAUGGCAGAUGCUCUAGGCCCGUCAGGUCAGGUAAACAUUCAAACAUAAUAUCAUAGAGCUGUCUUGUUUGUGCGUUAAGUCAGUUUACAACCAACAAGCUUGCUUGAUUCAGUUUCCUGUUAUGCCCUGGGGUCUGCAAGGAGUGCUGGAAUAUUUCAAGCAAGUUUAUGGCAACCCUCCAAUCUACAUCCAUGAAAAUGGUGUAUCUCUCUCCCUUCCCUCUCUCUCUCUCUCUCACACACACACACAUACACACACACACACACACACACACACAUAUUGGUAGUUUAUUUUAGAAAACAACAGUUCCAGUGGACCAUCAAGAAACACACUGGCCUUCUGGUAAAACAGUCGUUCCAUGGUCCUUGUUCUCUCUCUCUCUCCCUCUCCCUCACACACACACACACACACACUAAGUAGUUUUACUUAAGAAAACAACAGUUCCAGGGGACCAUCAGGAAGCACACUUGCCUUUGAGUAUGGUACAGUUGUUCCAUGGUCCUUGUUCUUGGAGAUUUGCAGACAGUUGUGGGUUUGGAUGGGAAGGAGUGAACACUUGUAAAUCCAAUUUUCUUUUCAUCAUUUUCCUCAUUUAAUGAGUGAAACUUGUGUGGAUUCUGGCAGGUCAACAGAUGAAAAGGAACACAACAUUGAACGACACUGCAAGGGUGGAAUAUAUACAGGCCUACAUGGGGGGUUUGCUUGAUGCAAUAAGGUAUACCUAUUACAGUAACAAUCUUGAUGCAAUAAGUCUCGAUUAUUCUAAGUUGGGUUCUUCUUAAACUUUUCACUGAAAUGAGAAAUGCAUUUUUGUCUCUGAUGCAGUUCUCUUAUUGUCUUUCUUUCCUCCCCCAUUUCUUUGUCCCUUUUGUUUAAAAAUAUUGGCAGGAAUGGAUCAAAUGCAAGAGGGUACUUCAUAUGGUCAUUCUUGGAUGUACUCGAGGUAACAGAUGGCUAUAAAUCAAGCUAUGGCCUCUACUAUGUAGAUUUGGAUGACCCAGAUUUGAAACGAUAUCCUAAGCUCUCUGCACAUUGGUACUCUGGUUUUUUGAAGGGAAAAAACAUCACUCCAGAUGAGGCCAAUGACAUUACCAAGAAUAAAAUGGCUCUUUCUAAUGCUCGACCCAUUCAGUAGGCUCUGCUUUGAAUAGUCAUCUAUUGGUGCCUUCCCUUUCAACUGGCAUGUUGACAACUUAUCAACUCUUAUUAUCAGAACAUUUUCUUUCUUAAUAAGUAUAUUCAGUGAUUUCUCAUAGCUUGUCACUCAAUUCAGAAAAUAUUAUAGGUAAGUAAACUGGCUAGCCUUGGGUGUCAACCUAAUAUUUUUUUCAGAACAAAAUCUGAAUCCAACUUUAGCUAUCUUGAUUCAGAGUAUGUUAUGUAUAAGCCAUCUUCAGGGGCUUACCGCCUAUACAUCCUUCAUCAGCCUCCCGAUUCCAACAAAAAUUCGCCACUGAACUGUAAAGUAAUCUUGGUUGCAAGAAGUAACAUCAUGUUCUCAAAAUUUCAGACAGAUAUGAGCAAUAACAGUUAAUUGGGACUGCCCAACUUGUUUCAGCAAAAGAUAGAAGCUUUAAACAAGAUUCUCAAAAUAAGUACAUGUCUUCCAGAGGGAAAAUUACAGCAACGGUCCAAAUUAGCAGUAAAGAGAAUCCACAAUGAACAACUAUUUGAAUAGAAAUCUCCUAGUCCAAGUCACCAAAGACGGCCGAAUCAGUAUACAACAAAGUUGACAAUAUUGGCAUGCUAGAGUUCAAUUUGAUCAAGCAACCUCCAUCAUUAUGUUUUCAAUGUCGACAAAAAUGUGUGAUGGAGACCGCCCAUUCUCUAGAGGGAGGAAAGUUCCACCCAGCACAACUUUCGAGGAUGCUGAAAAUCAAUACCCAAUAAUAAUAAUAAAAAAAGAAAAAAAGAAAAACCAGGACAGAAGUAUUUCCACAAAAUUUACGGGGAUAUGUCCAGAAGAUUAUUGUGAAAAUAUAUGGAAUGUAAGGAUAGUAAUAAAUGGGAAACAUGAGGAGUUAAUUGAUGGAAAGACAAGGGAAAGAAGAAUACAAAAAGUGUGUGAGCAUGGUGAGGCAUAGACUCUCUUUCUCUCUGUUUCUUCUGCUAAAUUUAGCAACUACAGCCUUCAGCGCUCUCAAGUUUAGCAGAAAUGACUUCCCAGAUGACUUCAUUUUUGGGGCUGGCACCUCUGCUUACCAGGUUUGUUAAUUUUCUUCUCUUUUCUUUUUUUGUACUCAUUUAGAUGAACACAGGAAGAAGAAAUGAUUGAAGAAAAGAAUCUAAAACAAAAAGGGAGUUGGUGAAUGAUUUUUUUCUUUUUUUAUCAUUAUUAUUAUUAUUGGAUAAAAGGUUGAGGGAGCAGCAAACCAAGAUGGGAGGAGUCCUAGCACUUGGGACGCCUUUGUUCAUGCUGGUCAGUUCCUAUACUGUUUUUUUUUUUCCUUGAUAUAAUUUUCUUUUGCUGUUUUCCAUGUUGUUGAUUGAGCUUUGCUUCUUCUACAAUUAGAGCACCUAUUCUUCCACUGACUGGUUAUGAGCCAGCCCUUUCUAAAUGAUGAGCUCUUUUCAAUGAAUCCAAGGGCCUGACAUUUUUUAUUUUUUUUAAAUCAAGAUCAUUUGUAUAUUAAAUGUUGAUAGAGUUUUCGAAAAAUUUAGAUAUUUUUUUUCCCUCUUUUUGGUGGGGUUGGGGGGUAGGAUUUUGCAGAAAUGGAGAUGCUUUUGUCUUCCAAACCAUACCAUAUUCACUACUCUGGAAUUUAAUCAGCCAACUCCCUUUCUCACCUUGUCUUUAAAAUUUUGUUUGUUUCUCUUUUGCUGAGUAGGAUCUGCUAUCAUUUUGUAACACUAACCAAUUAUAAAUGAAGAGUUUCAAGGAGAAAGUAUUCAGGGUCUUCCAUGACAUCAAUCUGAUGUCAUGGCACUACUGUGCUGUCGUAUUAUACCGUAUCAAUAUUAGAUAGUAGAAUGCUAAAGUUUUGAAAUAAAUAAUUUUAUUUACCAAAGAAAGAUUUUAAAAUUUAUUUUUAUAGAUCUUAUGAAAUCUUCCAGUUAAAGGAAAAUUUCAAAAUUUUCUUUCCUCAGAAAGUUCCCUGCAAUGAUGCUGUCCCUCUCUUUCUAUUCCACCAUUCUUUAACACCCUCAUAAGCAUAUCUUCUACAAAAAGCAACAUGAUUAUUCAUUUGUACAUUUUGAUAACAUAUAUAUAGAGAUAAUAAAAUUGAAUAUAAAUCAUAUAACCAACUUAUAUUCUUAUAGAUCUAAGAAAAUUCCUUCUGUAGGAGGGAAUUCACCUUGAUGGGAUCAUGGGAAAGUAGUGAAAGAUGACAAGGAGCUUGUAUUGAUAUGACACAAUAAGUAGAUGGUUGUACUAUGUCAAAGUCCUAAUAUGGCAUCAAAGACCUACUGAAUAUUUUCUUAGUUUAAAAUUCUUUUAACUUAAAAUCACAUGAAUUCUAAAACCUUUUAAAGAUGAAUAAGGGUUUUUGUGACAUUUAAGAUUUAUGCCAAACUGGGUAUCAGUUCAACAGAUUCACAGUUGCUGAUACAUGUAUCAGAUAUUUUGAUUUGGAUGGCUGAUUGUCCAACCUUAAAUUUCAGGGGGUACCCAUGGAGCUUCUGGGGACAUAGCAUGUGAUCAGUAUCACAAAUACAAGGUCAGUUCACCAUUUUUGUGAUCUUUUCUCUGGGAAUAAUCAUAUGGCUUGUAGAAACAGAGUCGUUAGACAAGCUCGGGUUUCUUCUACAUGGAGCCAUUACAUAUCAGCAAAUGAUGUUGCAAAUUUGAAGACAAAUUUCUAAGUCAUGCUCCUUAAUUUUUCUUUUCUAAUGACAUUUUGGCACAUUCUGCAUGUCCCAGAUGUCUUGAGACGUUAGUUGUUGUUUCAAACAUUUGGAACUUGGCUUAGCAUCCUUCCCGUGUAUAUAUUUCUUGCAGGAGGAUGUCAAACUGAUGGUGGAAACAGGCCUAGAUGCCUAUCGAUUCUCGAUCUCAUGGUCAAGGCUUAUCCCAAGUAAGGUCACGGAACUGUGACUCAUGUUAACAAAAUAAGAACUUGCACUUUUGGUUCUCUUUCUGAGUCAUGCUUCUGUUGUUCUAUCAGAUGGAAGAGGACCUGUCAAUCCAAAGGGUUUAGCAUAUUACAACAACCUCAUCAAUGAACUUAUCAGCCAUGGUUGAAGUGGAUUUCAAACAAAAAUGAAGUUAAUAUUGUGUGUGUAGCAUUUUGGAAGUGUUUUUCUUCUCUUUGGAAGCAAAAACUAGAGUAAUUUUUUUCAUUCAAAAUCAAGAGAACGUACUUCCAAAUUGCUAUCACAACAUUGCUUUCAAAUUCUACAUUCUCUUAAUGGUAACUCACAUGAUCCAUGUUCCAUUGGUCAAGCAGGAAUCCAACCUCAUGUUACUUUAUUCCAUGUUGAUCUGCCACAAGUGCUUGAAGAUGAAUAUGAAGGAUGGCUUAGUCGAAGGAUUGUGUAUGGUUCUCAACUCUCUUCGAACUUGUUCUUGGGCUAAACAUGUCCCUUCCACCAACCAAAUAAUAGAGAAUACAUAUGACAGAAUUAUCUUGUGUGGAUGCAGGAAAGAUUUCACAGAAUUUGCCGAUGUGUGCUUUAGAGAAUACGGAGAUAGGGUUUCACAUUGGACUACCCUGAAUGAAGGAAAUGUAUUUGCUUUGGCUGGCUAUGACUCGGGAAUCCUACCACCUCAGCGAUGCUCUCCCCCAUUUGGACAUAGGUCAUGUACCAAAGGCAAU